rnacentral:rRNA from 1 species
AACACAUGCAAGUCGUGCGAUCUUUCUCGAUUGCGAGCUUGCUCAAAAUCGAGGUUUGAGAUAGCGGCGAACGGGUGAGUAACGCGUGGGCAACCUGCCCUAAAGACUGGGAUAACUUCUCGAAAGGGGAGCUAAUACCGGAUACCUUUGUUGAUAUACAUAUAUUUACAAAGAAAGCCUUCGGGUGCUUUAGGAUGGGCCCGCGUUCCAUUAGCUAGUUGGUAGGGUAACGGCCUACCAAGGCUGUGAUGGAUAGCCGGCCUGAGAGGGUGUCCGGCCACACUGGGACUGAGACACGGCCCAGACUCCUACGGGAGGCAGCAGUGGGGAAUAUUGCGCAAUGGGCGAAAGCCUGACGCAGCGACGCCGCGUGGGGGAUGACGGUCUUCGGAUUGUAAACCCCUGUCGUACGGGACGAACAACCUGGGGAUGAAUAAGCCUCAGGCCUGACGGUACCGUGCAAGAAAGCCCCGGCUAACUCCGUG